rnacentral:tRNA from 1 species
GGUUGUGGCUCAAUGGUAGAGCACUUGCCUAGCAUGUGUGAGGCACUGGGUUCGAUUCUCAGCACCA